GACGAACACUGGCGGCGUGCCUAAUACAUGCAAGUUGAGCGCUGAAGGUUGGUACUUGUACCAACUGGAUGAGCAGCGAACGGGUGAGUAACGCGUGGGGAAUCUGCCUUUGAGCGGGGGACAACAUUUGGAAACGAAUGCUAAUACCGCAUAAAAACUUUAAACACAAGUUUUAAGUUUGAAAGAUGCAAUUGCAUCACUCAAAGAUGAUCCCGCGUUGUAUUAGCUAGUUGGUGAGGUAAAGGCUCACCAAGGCGAUGAUACAUAGCCGACCUGAGAGGGUGAUCGGCCACAUUGGGACUGAGACACGGCCCAAACUCCUACGGGAGGCAGCAGUAGGGAAUCUUCGGCAAUAGACGAAAGUCUGACCGAGCAACGCCGCGUGAGUGAAGAAGGUUUUCGGAUCGUAAAACUCUGUUGGUAGAGAAGAACGUUGGUGAGAGUGGAAAGCUCAUCAAGUGACGGUAACUACCCAGAAAGGGACGGCUAACUACGUG
rnacentral:rRNA from 1 species